CAGGCUGCACAGGGGCAGCUCAGGUAUAGUCAGCGGGAUAUUGGGGUCACACACUUAAUUCAUUAAUCCACCAAAGCAGCAGCUCAGACAGCCACUUUCCCAGUUAGUUUACGUUAACUGCUCAUCCAGGGUUGGUCAGUUGACUGAAAGCUAGUUCUUGUCAGAACCGUCAUGUGACAGUUGCGGUGGAAUGUCUGGGCUUCUGAGGCAGAGAGCCAAACAGAUACUGGUCACUCAGGGUGGUCCCCUAACCAUCAGGAAGGCUCACCAGGAGGCAGGUGACAGUGUAAGCAUGCUGGGGAAGGUUGAACACAAGUUUGAACAUCCCUUUUCCUUCUGAGGGGCUUUAAUCCAGCAAGACUGGCCAAUCUCAGUUCAGUCUAUGCUUUUUAAAGAAUCACAUCCGUACACUCCAGCCACUUCUCUAAAUAAAGCAAAGCUCCAAGAGUAUUUCAUGAGCAACACCACCGCUGAAGGACUGUUACUCUGAGUCCCCCUAGCACCCCAAGACAACAAGUUGGAGGAGCUUCCUACUGGCGGGGCAGACAAACAGGCUCCAUGAAGUGCCAAAGUGACUUCAAUGACACGUGAAAAUGGUCUGCAUUCUGGAACACUUACAUGCUGAGGAAAAAAUCCAAAUGAACAGAAAGGUGGGGCUUUCUUGCUGGCCUUAGUCUGGAGAGCCUCCAUGAUUCCAGCUUCCUGCUGGGAAUGAGGAUGGGGAGUGUGAUGUAAGAACUGUUUUCCCAGGUAAAGAACUCUGGCAACAUUCUGCAGUCCCUGGAAAAGCUGUGUUCCCUUCAGGGGUGUGGAUUUGUGUGCAUGGGGCCUUAGGGGUGCCUGUGUGUGAGUCUGUGGGAUGUUGUUGUGAAUGCGUCGGGAGUGCAUAUGACAGAGAAUGUCAGUUCUCCAUAGAUACGUCCUAGUUACACAGCACAAUUGUAAGUGCCACCAUCCUCAAAGAAAACCCCAUAGCCACUCUAUGCUUUACACACAAUUGACUUGCUCAUCACUCACCACAGCCAUAUCUGUGGGUGUGUUUGCUGUUCCCACUCCUCAGAAAAUGAGGUGCAGUGAUGAGUGACCCAAGCUCUUGAGCUCCUGUGUGAAAGAGUCUAAGUGUGUAUGCAGGGCUGUGGCCCCAGUGUUGAGGCUCUGAACUACUUUAUAGCCUUCAUUACUCCACAAUUGGAUCAUUAGUCCCAGUGCAAGGGUGUCCCAGCAUCCAUCCAUGUUCCUGAAUCACCUGGGCAUACAGAGGUCUCAAUCACUGUCCUUCAUUAUAAGGUAGCCUCUGUGGUCACAUCACACAGAUCAUAUAUUGGUGCACAUUACCACAAAUGUUGGCAUAGUAAUUAGCAGAAAAAGCAUGGAGAAAGCCCACAUGCUUCUGGUCAGCCACAGAUUCUGAGAGAUCCAGACACCGUGUAGAACAACCUCACCAACUUUUGAUGGUGUGGGGUCAUUCCUCAGCAUCUAGGCCAGAAUAGAUAAGAAUAUAGGUGAUAUUUCAAUGGUAUUUGAUAAGAUUAUAAAAAUAUGGCUAAGAAGUGUUCAAAUUCUGUGAGCUAUCACCCCUGGGAAGAUUGUCACAUAAGAAUAACAGUACUACUUGGUUAUUACCCUGGUGCCCGUCACUCAUUGUAACUCUCUUGUAUAGCUCGGUCAGAGAGCAUCACUGCUCACCCCAGCCCUCCUCUCUGUAAUGAACUUGCCCACUCCUGGCUGGCUAGUGUGAACCUGGCCAGCUGCUGACCAAUAUACACACACAUAUAGUUAGAGAAGCAAGACUGGAAGUGAAAAUAUCACGUGCGUAAUAAUGUUUAGUUGAAAUGGUAGGACAUCCGUAUUUUCCAAAUUUCUAAAAUUGAUUAUCUUUAUGGCAAAUAUUUAGUGAAUAAAUAAAAGAAAAAUUUUCCUGGAAUUAGAUCAGUCUCCCAGUGUAAGGUUGCUUUUCAUCAAUUGGAAAAUCUCAUACAACCGAGGGGAAAUGCAGCAUACAUGGCUCCAUGGAGGCUGAGAUGGUUUGAAGGAAGUCAAGAAGCCAGUGGCAGUUAGCUGGAUUUAAACAUGGGAAAGAAGAGUGAUGGGAAUUCGUUUAAUCAUAGCGUGUAUUUAAUUCCAUUUGUAAGUGGAACACUGCACGUUGGUUUAAGCUGUCUUUAGCUCCAAAGCUGAGGAUUCUGUGUCUCAUUCUUCUCCUUUUCCUCUUCUCUCCUAUGCUUCUUCUGCCAAAGAGGAUGACCUAGCAGCAGCUUAUUCUAUGCUUGUUAAUCAACCACAUCCAUACACUCUAGUUCUGUAUCCAUAUCAAGCAGGGGUCCCUG
rnacentral:lncRNA from 1 species